rnacentral:misc_RNA from 1 species
AAAGUCGUAACAAGGUUUCCGUAGGUGAACCUGCGGAAGGAUCAUUACUAGAGCAAAGGAUAGACACUACCCCACUUCGGUAGGGUUUAGAGUCGUCGGGCCUCUCGGAGAAGCUCGGUCCUGAACUCCACCCUUGAAUAAAUUACCUUUGUUGCUUUGGCGGGCCGCCUCGUGCCAGCGGCUUCGGCUGUUGAGUGCCCGCCAGAGGACCACAACUCUUGUUUUUAGUGAUGUCUGAGUACUAUAUAAUAGUUAAAACUUUCAACAACGGAUCUCUUGGUUCUG